CCUACGGGUGGCAGCAGUGAGGAAUAUUGGUCAAUGGGCGGGAGCCUGAACCAGCCAAGUCGCGUGAGGGAAGACGGUCCUAUGGAUGGUAAACCUCUUUAGGCGGGGAGCAAUGCCGGGCACGCGUGCCCGGAGGGAGAGUACCCGCAGAAUAAGCAUCGGCUAAUUCAGUGCCAGCGGCGGCGGUAUAACGGGGGAUGCGGCGUUUAGCCGGAUUUGUGGGGGUAAAGGGGUGCGUAGGGGGAUUUUUAGGUCAGCGUUAAAAUGUCCGGGCUCAACCCGGGCCGGCCGUUGAAACUGGGUAGCUUGAGUGGGCGAGAGGUAUGCGGAAUGCGUGGUGUAGCGGUGAAAUGCAUAGAUAUCACGAAGAACUCCGAUUGCGAAGGCAGCAUACCGGCGCCCGACUGACGCUGAGGCACGAAAGCGUGGGGAGCGAACAGGAUUAGAUACCCGUGUAGUC
rnacentral:rRNA from 1 species